AACGAACGCUGGCGGCAGGCCUAAAACAUGCAAGUCGAACGCCCUAGCAAUAGGGAGUGGCGCACGGGUGAGUAACACGUGGGAAUGUGCCUUUUGGUACGGAACAACUUUUGGAAACGAAAGCUAAUACCGUAUGGUCCCUUCGGGGUAAAGAUUUAUCGCCAAAAGAGCAGCCCGCGUCUGAUUAGCUAGUUGGCGGGGUAAUGGCCCACCAAGGCGACGAUCAGUAGCUGGUCUGAGAGGACGAUCAGCCACACUGGGACUGAGACACGGCCCAGACUCCUACGGGAGGCAGCAGUUUGGAAUAUUGGACAAUGGGCGCAAGCCUGAUCCAGCCAUGCCGCGUGAGUGAUGAAGGCCUUCGGGUUGUAAAGCUCUUUAGUCCACGAAUAUAAUGACUGUAGUGGAAGAAUAAGCCCCGGCUAACUUCGUGCCAGCCGCCGCAGUAAUAC
rnacentral:rRNA from 1 species